rnacentral:rRNA from 1 species
AAUUUUGGACAAUGGGGGAAACCCUGAUCCAGCCAUCCCGCGUGUAUGAUGAAGGCUUUCGGGUUGUAAAGCACUUUUGGCAGUGAAGAAAAGUCUCUGGCUAAUACCUGUAGCUGCUUCCGUUACCUGCAGAAUAAGCACCGGUUAACUACGUUCCAUCAGCCGCGGUAAUACGUAGGGUUCAAGCUUUAAUAGAAAUUACUGGGAGUAAAACGUGCGCAGGCGGUUCGGAAAGAAGGAUGAGAAAACCCAAGGAUUAACCUUGGAACUGCAUUCUUAACUGCCGGGCUAGAGUAUGUCAGAGGGGGGUAGAAUUCCGCGUGUAGCAGUGAAAUGCGUAGAGAUGCGGAGGAAUACCGAUGGCGAAGGCAGCCCCCUGGGAUAAUACUGACGCUCAUGCACGAAAGCGUGGGGAGCAAAC